AUAAAAAGCUGCUACUGAAUCAACUGCCAAUUAAUAAAAGCCUAUGAAAAGUAUCCAAAUGAGGGAGAAUAAACAAUACUCAAUUUAAGAUAAGCAGGAAUAGAGAGAGAAAUCAUGUCAGGCAGCAAUAAGAUAGGUACUAGAAGCUGACCGACAAUAUAAUUGAUGUCGGGCAGCGUGGGGAACAAUAAUUGGGACUUUGCUUGCUCUGUAUGUGCCUACCCCCCCUGCACUUACCCUAUUUGCCGGAUUUCUCGGUUGCCGUGAUAUCUGGUCCUUUGAGUUUGCUCUCUCCCACUUAUUACUUUAUUAUUAUUUGCUUUUCCUCCUAUUCACCUCAUUUGUAUUCGUAUUUUAACAAUAUGGUAUUUUUGUGUAUUGUUAUCCAAAUUCUUGUUAGACAGUAGUUGGUUGUUUAUUAAUGAAAUAUUCAAAUAGACAGUGGAUAGUUGGUUGAGGUUGGUUUCGGAAAACAGGCAUGGGCUUGUCUUGUUCGAGCUACCUGACUUUGACCGAGUCUUAACCUGUCCUUGCCUCUUUGGGUGGCACAGGUAGAGCCAAGACUCAAGGGAGACUGCGAUUGCGACACUGCAGACAGAGGGUCAAGAAGGGCUGUCCUUCCAUAGUUGACCGCUGAAUCAGACAUGUGGCGAGUAAAGAAUGGUGGUUACUGUUAAUAGCCAAGCACGCGUGCGGCACCAGCGUCUCUAGCAGCAGUCAGCCGAGCAUGGAAUAGUGAGUCCACCUGACUUGUUCCCCAGAGUUUUUUUAUCCUCUUGCUGGAGUUAGUAUAAUUUGAAUUACCUUUGGUCGUUCAGACCUGUUUUUGACUGCCCAGACCUCCUGUAUGAACCCUCUCCAAAACAAAAGUACAACACUAUUAUGCUUUUAAGAUUAAAACUGACAAACAUGCCUGUUUCCUUUUACAAAUACGAGGAUUAUCAUUCAUGGUUUACAGCUUUGUUGUUUUUGAAUACUAAUUUUGAUGUGUUAUUUCGAUGAUGGUCUUCUAGAAUCAACUCGAUUGUUUCCAUCUAAUCUUUGUUCUGGGCAUUCAACAAUGCCAUCCCCCAGAAAUGAUUUUGCAGAAUAUUCAUUUCAAAACUUUUGUUAGGAAUCCAUUUCAAGCGAAGGAAGAAAUGUAACAUCCACAACUUGGGUCGGUAUGGCCCAGAUUAAAAAACUUUAAAUUUUUACACAAAUAAUAUAAAAAUAAAUAAU
rnacentral:lncRNA from 1 species